rnacentral:rRNA from 1 species
CCUANGGGGGGCAGCAGUAAGGAAUAUUGCGCAAUGGGCGAAAGCCUGACGCAGCGACGCCGCGUGGGGGAUGAAGGUCUUCGGAUUGUAAACCCCUUUUAGGAGGGAAAAUGGGACGAGCAAUCGUCCGGAUGGUACCUCCAGAAAAAGCCACGGCUAACUUCGUGCCAGCAGCCGCGGUAAUACGAAGGUGGCAAGCGUUGUUCGGAUUUACUGGGCGUAAAGGGAGCGUAGGCGGUUUGGUAAGCCCUCCGUGAAAUCUUCGGGCUCAACCCGGAAAGUUCAGAGGGGACUGCCAGGCUAGAGGACGGGAGAGGAGCGCGGAAUUCCCGGUGUAGCGGUGAAAUGCGUAGAGAUCGGGAGGAAGGCCGGUGGCGAAGGCGGCGCUCUGGAACGUUUCUGACGCUGAGGCUCGAAAGCGUGGGGAGCAAACAGGAUUAGAUACCCGUNUANUC